GACGAACGCUGGCGGCGUGCUUAACACAUGCAAGUCGAACGGAAAGGCCUGCUUUCCCUUGUGGAUUGCGGGUACUCGAGUGGCGAACGGGUGAGUAACACGUGAGUGAUCUGCCCCCAACUUGGGUAUAAGCCUGGGAAACUGGGUCUAAUUCCCGAUAGGACUGCAGGGUGGUGCCUGUGGUGGAAAACGAUUUUCUAGUGGUUGGGGAUGAGCUCGCGGCCUAUCAGCUUGUUGGUGGGGUAAUGGCCUACCAAGGCGGCGACGGGUAGCCGGCCUGGGAGGGGGGACGGCCACAUUGGGACUGAGAUACGGCCCAGACGCCUACGGGAGGCAGCAGUGGGGAAUAUUGCACAAUGGGCGGAAGCCUGAUGCAGCGACGCCGCGUGGGGGAUGACGGCCUUCGGGUUGUAAACUCCUUUCGACCGCGAGGAAGCCACCUGGUUGGAAGGGUGGUGACGGUAGUGGUAGAAGAAGCACCGGCUAACUACGUG
rnacentral:rRNA from 1 species